UGAUUGCACCUGUUGUUACAAAAAAAGAGAGAGAGAGAGGUGGAUGUUGUUAACAUUUAUUUAGUUAUUUAAUUUAUUGCAUUUCUAUCCCCCCUUUUCAUCCAAGGAACUCAUGGUGGCGAACAUGGUUCUCCUCUUCCUAAUACCCACAACAGCCUUGUGGGGUAGGCUGAGAUACAGUGACUGGGUCAAGGUCAUUCGUUGAGCUUCAUAGCUCGAGUGGAGAUUUGAGCUCGGGUCUCCCAGGUCCCAGUCGGUCACGCCUAACCGCAGUGGCGAAGUAACGUGAGAAUAACAGUGAAGCGAUGAAGGCGGAGGUGAAACCGCUCUAAAGCGGUAGUCCUGCACCCUCUUACCUUGAAACCGAUGGGACUUAAUUUUAAGUGGACACAUUAAAAGGGUGCACUCAUAUUCAUACCUAACUGCGAAUAAGCCCUAUUGAAUUCCGAGUUAGGCACAGAAACAGAAUUGCGCUCCACGACAACUAUCAGUUUAACGCUAUGCGUGUUUGACUUGAAAGUGAAGUUUAACGGGACUUGCUUUCUAGUUUGUAGAUCGCUGGCUAAAAACAACAGCGCCGCUUUAAAUUAAAAUGAAAACCCAAAUUCAGUUUGAGGCCGGAAGUGUUGGCCACAGAUGCGGCAUGGGAGCCUUACCUUCCUCUUCGGGGAACGUGGCUCAAGAGCCGGGUCUCUUUAGUCCCAAAGCAGUUCCGAAUGGCAAUUCCGGUAUGGCAUCGAAUUCGGUUGACAAAGCGGUCCGAGUUACAGCGAUAGAGGGACAAUAUCUUCGCGCGUAGAAAAAACCUCAAACCACUUUGGGCGGCCCAGGCGUCAUCGAGGGUUGCUACGCCGGUGGCAGUGAGAUUUGCUUGCGUGGGAUGGGUGGUAUUGUUGGGUCAGGUUAGCCAUAUUGAGUCCUGUGCUGUCGGUGCGUUCUUUUUGUUGUUGGGCUGUGUAGGAUUUCUGUAACUCUGAGAUGCAAGGUAGCUUUCCUCUGAGACGGAGUCGAGAGGAUUCAACUGAAUGGUUCCCUAAGAUUCCUAUUUGCGCAUCUUAAAAGAUGUGCUGAUUCCUGGCGCUAACUUUUUUUAAAAAAACAAACAAAAAACCCAAACAUUUUUUUAUAAAAUGUUGCUCUUUCAAAGCGUCUCGGGGAAAGGGGCGCUUCUGGUUUCGCAUUUACUAUUGGCGCCUAUGUGCUUCCACCAUUCGUGCCCCGCAUAUGGAGGAGACCAAGGAUCGCGAUCGGGUCCGGAAGUGGGAGGUUGCGCGGAGCGCCGCUCGGCCGCGUUGCAAGCAGAGCUCCUCUUUGGGCGGCGCCGGCCUUCCUCGGGAAAGAAGCAUCUCCGGCUCCGUUGCGCCGCCUCCCGCGUGCUCCCCUCCUGCCCGGUGCCAUGUCCUCCUCCUCCUCCAAGAGGAAAAGCAAGGGGCGGCCUCCCCACCCGGACGCCGCUUCAUCCCCGCUUGCCUUGCGGCAGGAGGUUCCCGAGGUUCCCGGCAGGCUGCGCUUGGCUGCUGCAGAGUUCCUGAGCAAAGCAGAUGACAAAGUCCCCAAAAGUUACAGAACAUCUCUUGUGCAGCUGGCCCUCAACAACAUGAAACUGGCAAAUAUAUGCAUAGGCCGACCAGUGUUGCUCACCAGUAAAAAUGGAAAACAAGAGGUUUGUACUGCAUGGCCUGUUGCAGGCUUUCCUGGUGGAAAAAUUGGCUUAAGUGGAAUUACACAAAAAAAUCUGAAAGUGGGACUUGGCGAAACAGUCAUUGUUGAGCCUGUGACUGGUGCUGUUAUGCAGGCAGAGGACGUACAUUUGAAGCUGAGGAGCGAAGAUGCUUGCCUUAAUGUGGAUGAGUUGACUGCCAGUCUCCUAAGAAAUCUAGAUGGAAAGGUGGUUUUACCAGGAAACCUCCUGCAAAUCACUUUCUAUGGCCGAUCUUGCAACCUGAUGGUUACAAAGGUGAAAGGAACAGAUGGGGUUCUGCAGGAAAUGCAGGGCAGUCCCGUUUCUAAGCUAGAACAGAAAUUGUCAGUUGAUACCAGUGAUUUUGACUUAUCUGUGCAACUUGACAAACUGCUCAUUGAAGACAGCCAAGAAGGAACGUCUACCAGCACUCCAUGCAAGCAGGUGGAUCUCAGUUUAUCAGUUAAUGCUUCCAUAGAUACCAUGGUGUGUGAGGAAGAGAUUUCUGGUUCAACAGAGACGCAGUUAUUUGGUGACCAUGUCGCAGCCUCCACUCCGGCACCUGAAUCUACCAAGUUAAAAGGUGGUGAGGCCUGCAUUCCUGAUGAAGGGUUACUGCAGACUAGUCAAACAGGAGCAUCGUUGAGCUCUCAGCCAUUUUACUUCAUUUCUUCAAGGACUAGGAUAAGUUUCGUUGAAUCACGAACUAAAGAAGCAGAAGAAUGUAAUCUGGAAACGAAGGUUACUUACAGUUCUAUAGGUGGACUCGAUAACCAGCUAAAAACCAUAAGAGAAAUGAUUGAACUUCCCUUGAAGCAGCCUGGCCUGUUUAGAAGUUAUGGAAUCCCACCUCCACGAGGGGUGCUGCUUUAUGGUCCUCCAGGAACAGGGAAGACCCUGAUAGCCAGAGCAAUUGCAAAUGAGGUUGGGGCUCAUGUCUCCACCAUUAACGGCCCAGAAAUAAUAAGCAAGUUUUACGGAGAAAGUGAAGCCAAGUUGCGACAGAUAUUUGCCGAAGCUUCCUCACGCUGCCCAUCCAUCAUAUUUAUUGAUGAAAUCGAUGCACUCUGCCCUAAGAGAGAAGGGGCACAGAAUGAAGUUGAGAAGAGAAUUGUAGCAUCCUUAUUGACACUGAUGGAUGGCAUUGGAUCAGAGGGCAAUGAAGGGCAACUCUUAGUACUUGGAGCCACGAAUCGUCCCCAUGCUUUGGAUUCAGCCCUACGCAGACCUGGCCGCUUUGAUAAGGAGAUAGAAAUUGGGGUUCCCAACGCUCAGGACCGACUGGACAUUUUCAAUAAGCUUCUUAACAAAGUUCCUCAUUCACUGACAGCAACAGAGCUGGUUCAGUUGGCUGACAGCACCCAUGGAUAUGUAGGAGCAGACCUAGCUGCAGUGUGCAAAGAAGCAGGCUUGUAUGCUUUACGGAGAGUACUUGGGGAGAAAGCAAACCUCUUGGAUGAGGAUGUGUCUGGAUCAGUGAUGAUUACUCGCAGCGACUUCCUGCAGGCAAUGAACAAUGUCAGGCCCAGUGCCAUGAGAGAAGUGGCAGUUGAUGUACCAAAAGUAUCCUGGUCAGACAUAGGAGGGCUAGAAGAUGUCAAACUGAAAUUGAAACAAGCGGUGGAAUGGCCGCUGAAGCAUCCCGAGUCUUUCAUUCGAAUGGGGAUUCAGCCACCAAAGGGAGUAUUACUUUAUGGACCUCCAGGGUGCUCAAAAACCAUGAUUGCAAAGGCACUGGCCCAUGAAAGUGGGCUGAAUUUCUUGGCAGUGAAGGGCCCUGAAUUGUUGAACAAAUACGUUGGAGAAUCUGAACGUGCAGUCAGAGAGAUCUUUAGGAAAGCCAGAGCUGUUUCACCCUCAAUAUUGUUCUUCGAUGAAAUCGAUGCCCUGGCAGUAGAAAGGGGGAGCUCUUCAAGUUCUGGGAAUGUGGCAGACCGCGUCUUGGCACAGCUGCUGACAGAAAUGGACGGGAUUGAACAGCUAAAGGAUGUGACUGUUUUGGCUGCGACAAACCGACCAGAUAUGAUAGACAAGGUAAGAGGUUUGGGUACUUGCCCCUACUUUUGUUAAAACUACUUUAUUGGAAGUGAAAUGUUUUAAGAUUGCAGUCAAUUGUAGUCAAACGUAUUUGUAAAGUCCUGGAUUUUUUUAAAGGGGGGUUUUGUAUAAGGCUCAACAAAAACAGUUGUUCUCCUGGUUUUCAGAAGAAACCAUGGUUCGCUUCACCAGUGCUGCUUCUUCAGCAGUUUUUGAAAGCAAUAUGUAAACUGACCACUAAGACCUGUAUGCAUUCACAAGGCAGUAAGUUAGAGAUGUUUGCUGCAGCUUUGAGCAAGUUGGUCUGCUUGGGAUCUUGGGGUCCUUUUGUUUCAGGAUUAAUGGACCAUUUUGUAGAGUUGGCCAGCCUUGGAAGUACUGUAUCUUGAAAUCUCAGAACUAAAUACAUAUCUCCAGCCUAUGUGGGGUGGAAGGAAAAGUUUCUUUCCAUAGGCAGGAGGGAAUUCCCCCACACCAGUCAGUUACCUAGCCUGUGAUAACACUGUUUCUUUCCUCCGAUAGAUAAAAUUGUAGGUAAUCAUUCAGAGAUUGUUUAAGCAAAUUGUGCAUUGUGUCUUUGUUCUCCCAAAUGUGUUUUUGAUCAGAAUUGCAUCCAAUCUCCUAACUUUGAACCUUCAUAGACACCCAGGAUGAUAGCUUGUUAGCCCUCCCUGAAUUGAGUGCCUUUCUCUGUAAGACAGAAACAGAGAUUUACCAGCAAGAAUGUCCUUUUCUUGGUUUCCAUCAUCCAUAAUACCUCUGGCAUCUAUUUGUAAUGGCAGGCUAGAACAGAAGAAGCUGUUACAACCCCAGGGAACUCUGUGAUUGUUUCACAACAGGAAGUAAUGUGUGUGUAGCUGAAGAAUUGGAUUGCUUUAGCUCCUGCUGGGUGAGAUCUGAGUGUCAAACACAUUAGCUGGGAUGCCUAGAGCAUAAGGGCUGAGAAUGAAGUGAUAGUUUGUGGUUUGUGAUGGCACCCUGGUGUUUCUGACAGCUCAUCCCAGCAGUGUGCAGCAGUUGCAUCCUCAAGUGCCCUAUUUGCAUGAGAAUGACAGGAUGUGAUUGGACAAAUGAAGAUUAAUGAGAGAGAGUAGUGUCAGUGUGCUAUAUUGUCUUUAGAUUCAUGAUGCUCUUUGUUUCAUUACCAAUGAGGAACUUCAGUGUAGCAUGGAACAGAAACUGGGGGAGAUAUAGUGAAUGAAAAAUAUGACCAGAGUUUAGAUCUGGUUUCAUAAAACCAAACCAUAUUCAUCCUGAAAUAAAAUGCAAAAUAUAUGUACUUGCAUGUAAAACAGUGAAUAUCUACAUCUGACUGUGUUCAUGCACCCAAGCUUCAUAAAUUAGGGGCAUCAUGUUGGUUUUUCUGUCAUCUGCAUAGCAGAAUAGACUCCUCUAGAAUCAGGGUGAUGCUGUGCACACGCUAAUAGCAUUAUCAAAAAAUUCUCUCACAGUGUACUGUACCUACAUUUUGGGGAAAUUCUUCCUUAGUGCCUGCUUUGGUAUUAAUUUGUUGAACCAGGAGUUGAAAAUUCUCAUUCUGCUGCCCUGCCAAUUGGAUCAAAUAUAGAAAGGUUGCUUCUUCUAGUUGGUUCAAAGAAAAGUUGUUGCCUCUUGUUAUGUUAUGAAAUUUAAUAUUCCAGUAUGUGUUGUAUUUGGCUUGCUUUUACACCCUAAGAGAUAUUCGGUGAAAAGAUAGAUGAAACUUUACAAUACAUAUAAACCUCAAGGGUUAAUUACAUCAGCCUAUCAACUGCUGCUAGUUAAUUUCCCUUUCAUAUUUGAGUUACUAAUUUUUUUGUGGUAAACGGCUGAAUUCAAAUAGGCUAAAAAUAUUGGUAUCUGUAACACUUCUGAAUGAUGUGUUCUGAGUAAUUGAAGUCACCAACGUGGACCAUUAUGUUUUCAUGUCUAUUUAUUCCUCUUUCUCUUGGAACCAGUAUAGCAACAUUAUUGGCAUGUUUAAAAAUACUGGGUUUUAAAGGUGUGCAUACAAUACAAACUAUACCACUAGAUGGAAGCAAGAGAAGCAACUUCCAAUAUCACAUAAGUGAAUGGUUCUUGUCUUGGAGUGUAUUUUACAUUUAUUUAUACUCUUUACCCAUAACAAAUGUUUCUCUUUUUUUUUUACCAACACAAUUUUUUUUGAGAAAGUUCUUGUAACUUCUCUUACUACUUCUGCUACAAGAUCAAAGCUACAUCUCAUACUCUCUCUCUGCAGAGGCCAUUCACAGGUUGGAAGUGAAAUUAAAAACCUCUCUCUGAAAAAGGCCUGUUAGAUUUUACUUGGAAGACUCUUAUCUGGUGCUGAUCCAAUGUCCAAAAGACAGUAGAGCUGUGUUAGUGGAGUUUAGUGUUAAUUAAAAGUAGUUUAGUUUUGAUGAAAAAUAAAAAGUGAGUGAUUUGGCAGCAUCAGUAACAAGUUUUUAAGUUUUGGCCUCCAGCGAAAAAGCAAUCUUUCCUUUUGAGAAACAUCAAAGUUCUGCCCGUCUGGAGGCUUAUGAAAGAAAUUCAAAUAUUCAAGUUUUAUGGGUGAACUAGUAAAGGGAAAGGGAAAGAAUUUCAAUACAUAAGUUAUCAUCUGGCAACAUGUUGAAGUUGUCAUAAAUCAGGUAAUCUUCAGCUGUAAACAUGUUCAGCAUUUGUUUCGUCUGGAACAAAUUGUGGUUAUUGUAUGAUGCUCAUUUAUGUAUUUCUAUUGGGUUUUUCAGUCUUGCAUCUGAUUGGUAAAUGCAGUAUUAAGCUGUAGGUUGCAGGGCAAUUUUAUCAUCAGAUUUACAUGAGAUGUGAGGAAUAAUUCAAUUCUUAUAAUUUUCUGUCAUGGUAGUGGUCCUGUAAGUUGAAUAUAGCAAUGAAAUUGGCUUCACAACAGAGAUAUAGACUGAAUAUGCGCAUGCCACUCCAGAAUCAAAAACAUAUUACUAUGAACCUCCCAGGCAGACCCAUUAAGAAAUUGUUUCACUCCCUUUUCACUCCUUUAGUCAUGAGAGUGACUUAUAUAGAAGGUAUCCUUCUGACAGCAAAGCAAUUGUUGGGAGAAUUAAAGUAACAUGUGUAACACUUAAACUAAGUGUUUGACGGGGAAUAGGAGUGGCACUACUGUUCUAAGAGAGUGCAAUUUGGAUUUGUAUACCAUUAUGGUUGGUAAUUUUUUGUGAUACCCAUCUGUGUGAGCUGUCUGUUGGCUGCCACCUGCUUUCUGCCUUUAAACUUCUGGGCCGUGCAACAGCGUUGUAAAAUGGCGCCACUAACUGCAUGUGACAGCGGUGAUUGUUUCUGCCACAGUAUCUUCACUUCAUUGUUCCAGUGCUGCACUGUACCUGGCACAUGAUAUAAGUGUGAUGCCACAGGCUAUGUGAUAAGCUUGUGAAGUUAGGGCCUGAGGACCUCUGUCUUUUCCCUGAAGUGAUGGCUUCCUUUUUUUGGUAAUAUUGGAAUACAUCUCACCCUUUUGAGUAUUUGGGAAUAUUGAUCUAAGGACUUUAGAGCUGGAAGUUUGUUAUAAUGUGUGUGCAUCACAAUUUUCAGCACAAAGAGCAGUACAUCAUUACUUCUAAUUGCAGUGUUGUUUUUCUGAAGAAUCAGAGGUCAUUGCUGUGUUUAAAAGUAUUAUGCAGUUCACAAAGUCUAAGAAUCUUUGUUCUUACUGGGUUGCUGUCGUUUUUAAGUACUAAAUAUUUUUCUCAUAUUUUUCUUAUUUAGUAUUAGUUUCCUUUAUGUUUAUGGGCUUGCUUAAAAAACAAACAAACCCAGCCUGGCUUUAUUUGAACGUCAGAAAACUACGGUAGUUUAGAAUGUUUUAGAAACCCUGUUAAACUUAGGGGGGGGACGACGACAACAACACAAAUUCAUUGAUUCUGACAUGAUCUCUGAAUUAAAAUAUUUUCACAUGACACUAAAAACUGAGCAAAUAUCACAACCUUGAUGCUACCACUGUGGGGGAUGUGUCUCAUGUCACCCUCCAUCAGUAGGGCUGAUUGAGGGGGGAACAUGGAGCAGGGCCUUUGUAAAUUACCUCUGUGAGGAGUCAGGUUCGUACUAGAAACUGGUGUGGGGGGUAAUCAGGUCUUUGACACUUGCAGUCUUAAAUAGCAAAAUCAACACCUGUUUUUGAACUGGGAUUGGAAGCUUUCCAGGAACAAUGAGGUCCAGCAUCUUGAUAGACUAAGAAUUGUCUAAUGAAAUAAUAGGGCAGAGUUGAGGCAGGUUUCAGAUAAUUCCUUAAUUUAAAUAAGGAGUGUGCUAGGAGACAAGAAAUAUUAUUGGUUGUGAUAUGGCCCCACUGAACUCUGUCAGCACUGUGUUAUUGACACCAGCAACCAUUUUGCCUGUAGGGUGUUCCUUAUUUAUUGAUUGUAUGCUGACAUUCAUAAAGGUGUCUGAAUUGUUUCCAGUGGAAUUUUCAGGGUGCUUUCUUUAAGCAUAGUAAAUAAAUAUUUCCAGGUGUGCAGAAGUAACUCCCCCCCCCCUUCCAACCCUUCAAUUGCGAAGGUAUAGAGAGUGUGGUAAAUCAGCCUUGAGGCUGCUGAGUUGUUGUCUCUCUCUCUCCCCCCCCCCUUCUUUGUGGUGACAGCUGAAGAGCACAGUGACUUUUUCACUUUAGAUUUAUUAUCUGCCAGACCAAGCAAGGUGGUAGAAGAACUUGUUGGGCUGCAUUUGUAAGCUUUCACAGCCAUACCAUAAGACUUGGAUAAAUGUGGCUGCUUUUCUCCAUAAAAGCAUAUACUGAUAAAUGAAUUUAUUUGUGAGUGAGAUUAUAUGAAAUUAAAAUCAAGCAUAGUAAACCAUAGCAGAAAGCACCUCUCACAGCAACACAUCAAUGUGCUUUUCAGGUAAAUGCUUACUUUUAAAGUAUUUUGUUGCAGUCCACAUGAAUCUUUCUGAAAAGGCCGAUUGAUUUAUGUUGCUUCUAAGCCUUCUAAGGUGACUGGAUGCAAAGUGUCAUGAAACAUUUACACUAUUAAUAGUUGUACAAAAGAAAGGAAUUUUAUCAGGUGGAGCUUGUUAUGAAGUCAAGGAACCUGAUGAAAUCUGCCUCUUUUAGUCCUACUCUUCUCUGAUUCUGGUGACCUUGCUAAAAGGGUGGGCAACCCACAAGACUCCAGAUGAGAGACUACAACUCGCAUCAGCCCCAGCCAGCAUAGGAUGAUGGGAGUUAGGUGAUGGUUGGGGACGAUGAGAAUUGUAGUCCUCCAACAUCUGUGGGCUACAGCUUUCCAAUCUCUGCUCCACUGUGAAUUUCUGUUCGAGAUAUCAGGCUUUUCCUAACGGAACAAGUUCUUCCAUCUGGAGCAGUGCAAAGGCAAAAUAAUGAUGGCAGAAUGCACUUGUAUGGAUUUUGCUUUAUCUCACACUGGUCGCUACUCAGCAGUGAAAUUGUGCAUAGGAAUUCAAGUCUCAAUGAGGAUGUGAGUGAGGUUGCCUUUGCUAACAGGUGAAUUUCACCUUUAUUUGUCAGCAUUUUUAAAAACCGUUUGAGCCUUUAAACCAGGCAUCCCCAAACUUCGGCCCUCCAGAUGUUUUGGACUACACUUCCCAUCAUCCCUGACCACUGGUCCUCUUAGCUAGGGAUCAUGGGAGUUGUAGGCCAAAACAUCUGGAGGGCCGCAGUUUGAGGAUACCUGCUUUAAACAGUUGGAACUGAGGUAGGGAGCUAUUAUUCCAGUAUAGUUCCAGCAGCAACAUAAGUUCUCCCCUUCCUAUCCAUCUGCUGAGUCAUUGCUCACAGCUGAAUUGGCUCUAUCUUUUUUCCCUCCUCCUGAGAGACCCUCCCUUUUGAGGAGACUGGCAACCAAAUGAGUGCUUCUGCGUAGACUCUGGGUUCCCCACCAGGUCUUCUGCCAGCCUUGCUAAUUAGCUGGCAUCAUCAUCAUCAGUUAGUUAGUUAUAUGCUACCUUUCUUGCUGUAAACCAUGCUCAAGGCCACUCACAACUUCAAAAGUUUAUGUUUAUGUUUCAAGUUUAUGUUCACUAGCAUAAUAAAAUUUACCCAGGAAUAAACAGUUGUGUAAUGGAAACAUCUCAUAUUAAUAAAUAUACAAUAAAUUAAAUAAUCCAGUAAUAAUUCAUAAGAAGGACUGAAAAUAAAAAUAAUAGAACGUAAUGCAGAUAAACAGCAAGUUAUGAUAUGCUGCAAGAAGAACAAGGCAGAGGAGGAAAUAUGUCAGAAGAGUUGUGUUCCUUGCAAAUAUGCGGGAAAUAAUUCAUGAAAUUUGCAGUUGCAUGUAUGAAGUUUUUUGGGACCCUAUUGCACUUUGGAUGCUUUAAACAGCUGUAAGGCAAAACUUGCAGUUUAGCUGUGCAUUGACCUUCUUUGCAUACUUUUACUUAAGGGUAGGAAAUGCUCAGAGAGUUUAUCAAGGUCUCAGGCUGCCUUAGGGCUGCUGUGGGCUCUUCCAUGUCCUCAGUUGGACUGGAGGUCUGCACAAGGUCUCACACCUUUUCCUCAGAGGAGGUGUCCCUGUGACACUAGCUGGGCAAAUACUGAAACAAGUUCAGUUUGUCAGUGCAAACUUUCUUUAAUCAAUCUUUACCUUGAAUUAAGAGGGAUCUUAUACGCCUGUUGUUGUUGUUGUUAAUUUAUUUCUAUACCGCCCUUUAUCAAAAGAUCCCAGGGCAGAAUACUACAUUAAGAACACAUUUUACAGAGCAUCAUAAUAAAAACAUAAUAAAAAGCACAAUAACAGACAGCAUAAUAAUAAAAUAAUCAUAAUAACACACACACACACACACACCCUCCCCGCUUUAACAGGCCAUAGAUUAUUUAAUGGUCAAAGGCCUGGGUAAAGAGGAAUGUUUUUACCUGGCACCUAAAGAAAUGCAAUGAUGGUGCCAGGUGAGCCUCUCUGGGGACAGCAUUCCACAGUCAGGAAUCCAUCACAGAAAAGGCCUGUUCUUGUAUUGCCAUCUAAGCCUAUACCAUAACCACUGGAGAGACUACCACUGGAGGGACUAUAGAAGUUGUCACCAGGAACCCCUCUAACAUGGUUAGAAUACUAGCAAAAACAAAGUGUUGUGAAAAAAAUGAUAUAUUAAAAUUGUAAGUUACUUGGACACACAACCUUUGAAUGCUUGUUUCAAGAGGCUGACUUAGUGAAUACAGGGCUGUUUCCAGAUGUUGUUCCUGGAAUAAGAAAAUCAUAUCAUGUGAUCAAAUAGGGGAAGUGCUAGGAAUAGAUAUUGCAGAAGAGGGUUGGCACCCAAAACAGAGCUCUCUGUAUAAAUGUAAAUUAAUCUGUAAUCUGUAGCUCACAUGAGGACAGUUAAGUAAUCCAGCAGUUGAAUGGUCUAGGCUGGAGAGCUGAUAACCACCUGCUCUCUCCCAAGGUCAACUGAAGCUCCUGAAAAAUGUUUACAUGGCAGAGGUCAGCUAAGGAUGUUUCCAAACCAAGGUCCUAUGAGUGCUCAUGGUAGGCAAGUGUUGCUUUAAGGCAAACCUAGCCAAGAUAGGUUGACUCCCCAAUCUCAGGUUAGUUCCCCGAACCAUCUGUACUUCUGUCUUAAGUGGGUUAUAUUAUCUUCCUCUGUACGAUAGUGUAGAGAUUAAUAGUUUUAUCUUGCUAUAAAACCCUGUUGCCAAGUGUGACAAAAAAAGGCAUUUUAUUCACAUUGCAAAGUAGUAAUAGUUUACCAUUUUCAUCUGAUGCUCAAAAACAUUAGGAGCUAUCAAUGGGUUUUGACUGUUUCUUUGCCAGAUUCAGGGCACGCACAGGAAGGUUUAAGGAAGCAAUUUGUCCCUUGAGCCUUUUUCAGAUGAAGUGCUCCGCAGCACCAGGACAUGUUCUGUGGAAGUCUACAGAGUAAGCAGAGGUAGCUUCAGCCAGUUGGUGAGGCAAGCCUUAUUCCAUUACUUAACAAGCCAGCACGUGGGCUAUGUAAGCAAGAACACACGCCAGGGUGUGUGUUCAUCAGUCAACACGCGAGGUGUGCGUAAUUGGCAAGCACACACCCUGGAACAUGUUACUGCACUUAUAAAAAUGGUCAUUUAACUUUUAUUAAAAGCGUGUAGAUACAAAGUGUGCCUAGUUCUCAAAAUGCUAACUUCUUCAAACAAUGUUAUGUAGCUUAGUUGCAUUUUCUCUCAAAUAAUUUUUCCGUGUCACUUAUGCAGAAACAUUUUGUUGGCAAGCAACUUUUUCAUUUCCGAAUGCUUUUCCGUCUCAAAUCAUACCCUUGGGGUGAAAAAGGUCUUAGUACCCCAAGUGAUCUUGAAGGACAGUCUAACACCAUGAAAAGCAAACAUUGAUGCUGUAGCACAUGUUUCUAAGUGAGAGGGCCCCAUAACUGCAGUGAAGGAGGUAAGCCGCAGGCUUUCAUUUAUUUGUAGAGUAGUCUUUUGCCAGUAUCUGUGGACCUAUAUAGCUUAAACUAGUUUAUUUUUAACAGAAAAUAACUACAAAGAAAUACUAGUUAAGACAUGUUUGUGCUAAUGGCUGAAACUGGAAUUUAGGCAGACUGUGAUGUUUGGCCUCUCCCCCCCCCCCAUGCCACCCCCGCCUUUCCUGUUUUUUUAAAAAGAGUCUGGGAAAGACAUGAAACAGAAAUUAUUAUUGUUAAUAUUUACAAAAUGUUUCAUUGAGGGGAAAGCAAGUAGCAGAAUGCAAUUCUGUGGGUUUAAAGCCGCACUUAAACAUGGUCUUCCCCAUUCAACAGUUUUGUUCUACUCUAUGCGAAAUGUUAAGUGAUAAAAUGUGGGCUUUUUUUGCUUCAGUUACCACUGAUGGUAAUUACAGAAAGGACAUACCAUUCCGGUGUUUUGGGCGUCGAAGCAGUUCUCAAAGUAUCAGCAGGUGGCAGUCAAGCCAAGCUUCAGUUUAAGCAGCUAGAGUUUAGAAGUUUAGGAGAUAUAGUGCAUCUAGAACUUUUGAGUGAUAUUCUGUCAGGUAAGGCAGAUGGGGAUCUUUGUUGGGUUGAAACACAUUGGGCUCUGUAAGCUGAUACAUGGAUAUACUUUUACACUGGAGAGGAAAUUUGGCUCCUAUAUAGCUACGAUUACAGAAUGCUUUGCUCUUUACAGUAAUGCAAUUUUAAGGCAGUUGGUUGAGCUGUAGAAGUAUGGAGCUCCAUUGCCAAUUCUUUCUACUUGAGAAUAAAAUGGCCUUAGGUAUGUCUUUGGGAGACAUGGAACUUUAAAAGCUGUACAUGGGAACAGAGGAGACCUUCAGCGCUAUAUCCUGGUAGAUAUUUCUGUUUGGGGAUAAUCCCAGUCCAGCAAACAAAGGAUAUAAACAAUGAGGUGCCUUCUAGAUGGGGAAGGGCCAUAGCUCAGUGGUAGAGCAUCUGCUUUGGGUGCAGAAGGUCCCAGGUAUGUCUAGAAAGGGCUAGGAGAUAUUGCGGGGACACAUGCUAAACCCUGUCUGUGGUGCUUACCCCUUCCCCCAAAGAAUGAGACAAGAGACCAGAGCAUGGGUUCAAAUUGGCCAUAACUUUAUUGGGCUUCAGAAGUGGGAAACUUGGCCUUGGCCUUGGCAGGUAACCCUUGCAGCUCGUCUGGCUGAGGAUAUGCGGGCUGAUGAGGUACAGUGGGAGUAAAGCACAAACUUACACAGCAUGCCCUUCCAUUAACCUUGGCCCAGGAGUUUGACCUAUAUGCCGCCGCUCUAGGGCCAGGGACUCCCGGUUUGCCCUUUAACGGGCCCUGCAAGCACCACCGCAUGGGAAGGGAGCAUGAAUGCACCCCCCCCAACCUGAUGAUAGACUAAAGGAUACCUUGCCAAGGCCUAAACUGCCAAAGUUGUGACGAAAUGCUACGGGGAAGGUGGAACCUGCCAAUGCAGGGGAAAUUACUUCCUGGUUCUGAAUACAUCAACAAUCUUACAACUGCAGCAGCGCCUGCUGACCUGGAACGCAAAAUAUUAGUCUGUAAGUAAAAGUACCGUUUACUUGAUGACCACUGACCUGGGAUGAAAUUAUUUGGAGGAAAGAAAUUAUUAAUUUGAGAGAGGAUGGGUGGGUGAUCCUGGAAGGAGGAAAGAAAACCAAGUGAGGCUUGGACGGAAGGGUCAGCCUCUUUCUUUGGCCUUAGCCCCACCCCCGGCCUGCCCUCCCUGGCCGAGGGUGGGUCAAAGGCCAACCCAAGAAGGUGGGAGGCACCUGCCCAGGUAAGCCCCGCUCAGUGCCGCAAACCCUGCCCACCUGUGGGGAAGGGAGGGCGGAAAUUCUUGCAUGGUCCCAUGGACACUCAGUGCAAGCAGUACUGAGCCAGGUGGACCAGUGGUCUGACUUGGAACAAGGCAGCUUUCUGCAUUCCUAUGUUCAGAUGUUUUAGAUUCCAACUCCCAUCGGCCUUGACUUGUAUGAUUUGCGUGCUUGCAAGACAUAAACUCAGUACUGACAGCAGCUUAUAGUUUAUGCAAGUGUUCUCCCCAGAAACAAACUUGAAAAAAGUGAGAAACCUACAUAAUACUUCUGAAGAGUUGAAGUACCACAAAAAUUCAUAGAUGCAAAUUCACCUUGUCGUAUUUAUUUUGCUCUUCUGUAAAAUACAACACAAAUAGUGGUAUAGUCCACUAGGGUCCCGAUAUUGUGGUUUUCUGUCUGAGGUCUUGAUAUCAAAUGCUGCUUUCUAAGUUAACUACGGUAGUCAAAGAAGCUUCUUGUUUUUUUCUGUUCUGGAAAUUAAUCCUGUCAGAAGCAACACCAUCUCAAGCUUGCUCAAACUGUUUGCUAGUCCUUAUGCUCAGCAGACUUCCAUUCUGCUAGCUGGGUCAUGUAUGCUACUUAAAAUGAAAAAAACUGUGGGAAAUAAUGUAGAUUUUCCUUUUGAGUCAAGGUAUUUACUGCGCAUGUUUCAUCUCAUUAUACCUUAAGGGGUUAACGUUAUGCAUAUUAAACUAACAGCACAGUUUACACUAAGAGUUAUUUAACAUCUACUGGCGGUAUUACUGUACUUCCUGUUUUGUGUUCACAAUAAAAGGUUUCUAAAGAGCUGCCUUUGUGUAAAUACUUCACUUACAUUCUAGGCAAGUAUAUUCACGUCUUGAGCUAAACACGAAUAGAGUGAUGUUUGGAACACUGCUAAAGAAAGAAAUCUUUGUGCUUCAUAAAUGAUACCCUUGAAACCGUAUAAGAAUAUGAUUUGGAAAUAUCAUUUGUAUAUUUGUUUUCUUUUAUUUUACUGGUUUGAAAGUGGUGGAUGGAGUGGGGUGAAGAAAAUGUUUACUGUUCAUCAGUCAUUUUUGUCCACAUUUUGAAAAGAAUUGGCUGGAUUUUUGUAACAUACCUGCGUAUUUCAAAUUGAAUAUGUGCAUUAAAAAUGUAAAAAGAAGUGUUCUAAACAUUUAUUAAUUGUCUUAAGGGGUUUAAAAAUGUCUGGCAUCUAUUUUAAUGCAGCAUUAUUAUUAUCCCCUUCCAUUGAAUAAGAUGAUGCAUCAUUUUGGCCACUGUUUCUAAGAUCAGAGUGAUUAAACAAGCUAGUGAGUCAAGUAUGCACAGAGCAUCAAAAAUAUUUUUUAGCACAGCACAUGCAUUCAUCAGUCAGUUUUAUUUGUUCAGGAUUCCACUCUUCAACAUAGCACCUCCUGAGGUGACUUAUGAUCAUUGUUUGACAACAAAAACUAAACUAAACUAAACAAUACAAAAUAAAUAAGAAUACUGACCCAGCAAAAUAUCGGAGCAAAUCAUUGUGGUGUAGCUGAGUAUUGGGGAUGGACUACAGUAACCUCAUCAUCCUUGAUCACUGGCUAUGCUGACUGGGGCUGGGAGUUGGGAGUCCAAGUCCAAGUGGAGGGCUGCAGGUUUCCACCCCUGGUUUCACCAAUCUAAUGUAGUUCAAAAGCCUGGUGAAAUAAAAAUGGUAAUUUCCUGGAGCUCGAAAGACAUGAGAUUUAGUGCUAGGCAAGCCUUCCUGGGGAGAGCGUGUUACAGAUGGGCCAUCAUGACUGCGAAGACACUUUCUCUGGGUGAAGGAACUCAAAGAAGGGCCUUGGAAGACAAGUUCAACAUUUAGGCAAGUUCAUGUAGCGAUAGAAAGUCUUUUCAUGCCUAUUAUGGUACAGUCUGCUUUUGCGCUUUAUCAAAAAUUGUUCUAUUUUCAACAGAUUUUUUUUCUAGUUGCAGGUAGGUAGCCGUGUUGGUUUGACAUAGUCGAAACAAAAUAAAAAAAUUCCUUCCAGCAACACCUUAGAGACCAACUUAAGUUUGCCAUAGGUAUGAGCUUUCGUGUGCAUGCACACUUCUUCAGAUACUUCUUCAGAUUCUUCAGACUCCAACUCCCAUCAGCCCCAGCCACCAAUGGCCCAUGGUCAGGAGGGGUGGAAACUGUAGCCCACAACAUCUAACCUGUCCUCCGGUAUCCAACACUGAACAUCCAGUGUUAGUUGAAUGUUAAUUUUUAUCCUCUGUGUUUAAAAAGCAAAGAACAAAUAAAACCUCAGUGGGAAUCUCAGCUAUUCACCAGAUACAAUCCCCAGCUUGGCAUCUUCCUCAGUGUGAACUGACAUAUGUAACCAAUAUAAUAUGAUCAGAGCCUCUGAAUACGUGCAGGCUAUAAACCAGUUUUUGAGGUCUGUGUUUUAAACGAAAGUCACGUCUAAAUUUUGUUGAUAAAACCUUUCAGAAUAGCUGUCAGGCGUUGGGUCAGUUGAGAAUUUUAUUUUGAUAUAUGUAAGACAAAGAACGUAGAAUAGUAGAGUUGGAAGGGAUCACAAGGGUCAUCUAGUCCAAUCCCCUGCAAUGCAGGAGUCUUUUGCCCAACAUGGGGCUUGAACUCAUGAUCCUGAGAUGCUCUACUGACUGAGCUAAUCCAGCUCAUCCAGAUGUUAAUGCCUUUUAAAAAACAUUCUUAGUUUUAAAAGAACAUUCUUAGCUGUAGAGACUUACUUGCUUUCGAUGGACAUUAGUUUUAUUGUAUUCUGAGGAAAAUGUAAAUUGAAUCAUUGAAAUUAUCCAUAGCCUCUUUUAUCAUUUUUGGAAGAAAAGUAUAAAUAAAUUCCUCUAAAGAUAAUAAACAUUUCAUUUAUGGUAGCUGUCUAAAGGUAACUGUUUCCUAGAAUGAGGUUAGCUGGAGAAGGCUAACAAUAAAUGGCUGCAAGAUAAAUGAGGAAUGUGCUUGGAAUUCAUUGAUUUAAUUAGUUACUUAAAUCAAUCUUUCUUUUCAUAUAAAAGUGGGCCUGCAAGUUUACUUUUAUGUUCCUAAAAUACCCGUGGUAUUUUAUGGUAAAGAUAUUGUUAUGCUCACCCCAAUCUUGAAGAAGUGAGGGGUUUCAGGAGCCCUAGCAGAUACGCUGGAAGUAGCUCUCCAAAGUUUCAGGCAGGUGUUUAAACCUGCAACCCUUUGAUUGCAAAACUGGUGAACCAGCCCUGAGCCAUGAUAUAGAUUCCUUAACUCAGCUGCCACCCAGCUUGGAUAUUGGCUUGUCUUUAGGCUGUUCCUAGAUGUCUUGCUAACUUUGGCCUCCAGCUACGGGCCUGUUCAGUGGCAUCUUCUUCCUCUGAAAAUUUUGUUCUGAUUAUUGAUGGCAAACUGCCCAUGAUUAAUGGUGGAGAUUUGUGCCCCCUCUAAACUUGCCCAAUCACCUGUGUUCCAAGGCCUAGAAACUUUGUUGAAUAUUGUUUGAUGCACUAUUCCUACUCCCUUGGCUGCAACACAACACCUGCAGUCCCUAGCCCAACUCUGUAAACCCCCCCCCCUUUCCAGUAGCAAUAUGUAAUGAGCAAUUUAUAUUACGGAAACAGUGAACUUUUAUUACAAAUAUUUUAUAGAUAUAAUUGUUCUAUCUUUGUAAAAGCUGAUGGAAACUUUUUUCACGUUCGAUAUAAUCUGCUUCAUUUGAGCACAAUAGGGCAGCGGAGCUGGGAGAGGAGAACAGAAUAUGGGUUGGACAUCUUUCAGCUGGCAGAGCAGAUUAUCAAUGAGCACUACAGCUGCACUAUUUGAAAUGUCUCUAAAUUUGGCAUGCUUCCGUUUCCUUAUUCAUUUUCUUUCUUUCCUGACUGUUCCAAUAAUAGUUUAUUGUUUCCGUUGAACAAAACUAGCAGUUAGUGGUCAGUUAGAUAUCAGUGAAGCACAGGAAUGUAUUCAUUAUAAACAGGCCCUUCCCAAUCUAGACCAGGACUCAAGUGUCUUAGCCUUUCUUGCACUAGUCUAGACAAAUGUUGAGGUGAAAAGACUUGUUUUACAAGUAAAAGGCAAUAUGGGAAAAUAUUUUUAUAGGAAAUGUACCUGAAAUCUUCAAAUCAUUCCAGAGUGAAAUAAAGUUCAAGGUCGUUAAAUUUAGCAUACUAGAGAGGAUAAAUGAACGCAUUUAGAUUUAUACCUGGUUUUAAUAUGAGAUGUGUGUGUUCUUUAUUGUAUUUUUAAUUUUAUCUGCCCCUCUCUGAUACUACUUUGCCAUGGGAAGCUAACAAAUACUUUUGAUAAAAUAUUUAUUGUGCCUGUAGACUGGGGGUGCUUGGGAGACAUUAAUCCCUUUGUUUUUGAAAGGUUGCUUUUUCCUGCAUUGCCCAUAUUGCUAUAUCAUAUGAAGAAUGAAACUGAUAAUUGACAAGUGCUCUAAAAAUGCUUUGCUUUUCCAUAUUUUAACUGUGAUUGUAUCCAAAGGUUGGCCUUUGGUCUUUGUUAAAUCUUCCAUUCAUUAAUUGUGGGACACAGGUGGUGCUGUGGGUUAAACCACACAG